CCUACGGGAGGCAGCAGUGGGGAAUUUUGGACAAUGGGCGCAAGCCUGAUCCAGCAAUGCCGCGUGAGUGAAGAAGGCCUUCGGGUUGUAAAGCUCUUUUGUCAGGGAAGAAACGGUGGGGGCUAAUAUCUCCUGCUAAUGACGGUACCUGAAGAAUAAGCACCGGCUAACUACGUGCCAGCAGCCGCGGUAAUACGUAGGGUGCAAGCGUUAAUCGGAAUUACUGGGCGUAAAGCGUGCGCAGGCGGUUUUGUAAGUUUGUCGUGAAAUCCCCGGGCUCAACCUGGGAAUGGCGAUGAAGACUGCAAGGCUAGAAUCUGGCAGAGGGGGGUAGAAUUCCACGUGUAGCAGUGAAAUGCGUAGAGAUGUGGAGGAACACCGAUGGCGAAGGCAGCCCCCUGGGUCAAGAUUGACGCUCAUGCACGAAAGCGUGGGGAGCAAACAGGAUUAGAUACCCUGGUAGUCCACGCCCUAAACGAUGUCUACUAGUUGUCGGGUUUUAAUUAACUUGGUAACGCAGCUAACGCGUAGAAGUAGACCGCCGUGGGGAGUACGGUCGCAAGAUUAAAACGCGAAAGGAUUGACGGCUGAGACGUGCGACGGACGACGACGAGGGAGGAGG
rnacentral:rRNA from 1 species